UUCCUCCCUUUAUGUUUGCAGAUGGGUUCUCUAACAACGCUGUGAGGCACUGAAGGAAAUGGGUGGACUUUAUCAGCCCUGAAAGAAAAAAAUACCUGCGGAUCGAAUCACCCAAAAACGCGUGCAGCAGAUCGAAUCGGCAAGCACCAGAGAAAACGGGGGGAAAGGACAGACCGUCCCUGAAGCUUUACAGCGACAGUAGGCUCUUCUGGGAGUGGAUGCUAGGAUGGAACCCCUUCAUAGUCCCCCACAAAUGGAGUCAAGAACCUAACCUCCUGCAAUGUAGUCCUAGCAUCUUAGUGAUACAGAAUUUACUCAUUAUAAUCAGAAAAUACAAUCAUAUUCUGAUAAGCAAACCACACUGUGGAAGAUUAAUCUUGGAACUAUGAAGAGCUGCUCAACAUUAUACUGGUAACUAAACUUGAAUGAAGAUGUUUUUUGACAUCUAGAGAACUAGGACAGUGAUACAACCUGAUGGAGCCAAUAUCAGAAAGACACCAGCUACAGGGCGAUACCCAGGAAAUUAAUGAGCUGCUUGCAACAGACUCAGUUCCACCUAAAGGCAAAAGCUAUAAAGUAAAGACUGAUGCAAAAAGGAAAGCAAAAGCAAAUGAGAAAUGCAUUUUAUUCUGUUCUUAAUAACAACAGUUCGCUUCUUUUUAAAGAACAGCAAGUUGUUCUGCAGGCAGAUAAGGUGUUGUCUUGAGUGGAAUUUAUUUUCAGACUGCAUAGUUAACAUCCAGUGUGAAUCAUAAGAUCUCAGGAUCUAGAUCCAGAGAUAUUUUUGCCCAGACAGGUUAUUUCCAAUGUAUGCAUGAAA